CUUUUCUUUGGGAAGAAGCAAGUGACGGUACCAAAGGAAUAAGCCUCGGCUAACUCCGUGCCAGCAGCCGCGGUAAUACGGAGGAGGCAAGCGUUAUCCGGAAUCAUUGGGCGUAAAGCGUCCGCAGGUGGCACUUCAAGUCUGCUGUCAAAGGCUGGGGCUUAACCCUAGAAAGGCAGUGGAAACUGAAGAGCUAGAGUACCAUAGGGGUAGAGGGAAUUCCCGGUGUAGCGGUGAAAUGCGUAGAGAUCGGGAAGAACAUCGGUGGCGAAAGCGCUCUACUGGGUCGUAACUGACACUGAGGGACGAAAGCUAGGGGAGCGAAUGGGAUUAGAUACCCCAGUAG
rnacentral:rRNA from 1 species